AUCGGAACACAGGUGCUGCAUGGCUGUCGUCAGCUCGUGUCGUGAGAUGUUGGGUUAAGUCCCGCAACGAGCGCAACCCUUGUCCUUAGUUGCUACGCAAGGGCACUCUAAGGAGACUGCCGGUGACAAACCGGAGGAAGGUGGGGAUGACGUCAAGUCCUCAUGGCCCUUAUGGGUAGGGCUUCACACGUCAUACAAUGGUCGGUACAGAGGGUUGCCAAGCCGCGAGGUGGAGCCAAUCCCACAAAGCCGAUCGUAGUCCGGAUUGUUCUCUGCAACUCGAGAGCAUGAAGUCGGAAUCGCUAGUAAUCGCAGGUCAGCAUACUGCGGUGAAUACGUUCCCGG
rnacentral:rRNA from 1 species